GAAAAUAACUAAAAGAGGGAAAGACUCUUUAUUACACGAGUACGAGCGUAGAGUAAGGAGCUGUAGUUGGUCGCCUCUCCUUCCCUUUGGGAGCCUUAGGUUAGUUAGAGGGUAAGUAAAUACCAUACCUUUAGGCCUUUAGACUUACCAGGUAAAACUUGAGGGGUUGUUCUUCGCGGAAGAUAAAUCGAAUAACUGAAAAUGUAAGCCAUAUAGACCACUUUAUAGCCUGUUCAAAAGGGAUUGAAUGUGUUAA
rnacentral:misc_RNA from 1 species